UACUGAGGAUGCGAGCGUUAUCCGGAUUUAUUGGGUUUAAAGGGUGCGUAGGCGGCUUUUUAAGUCAGCGGUGAAAUUUUGCAGCUUAACUGUAACAGUGCCGUUGAUACUGGGGAGCUAGGAUUUGGUUGCUGUGGGUGGAAUGUGUGGUGUAGCGGUGAAAUGCUUAGAGAUCACACAGAAUAUCGAUUGCGAAGGCAGCUCACAAAGCCAAGAUUGACGCUGAGGCACGAAAGUGUGGGGAUCAAACAGGA
rnacentral:rRNA from 1 species